AAUUGACCCCGUAACUUCGGGAAAAGGGGUGCCUGCUAGCGCAGGCCGCAGAGAAUAGGCCCAAGCGACUGUUUAGCAAAAACACAGGUCUCUGCUAAAUCGAAAGAUGAAGUAUAGGGGCUGACGCCUGCCCGGUGCUGGAAGGUUACGGGAAUCUGUAAGCGCAAGCGAAGCAGUGAACUUAAGCCCCAGUAAACGGCGGCCGUAACUAUAACGGUCCUAAGGUAGCGAAAUUCCUUGUCAGGUAAGUUCUGACCCGCACGAAUGGCGUAAUGAUUUGGGCACUGUCUCAACAGCACACCCGGUGAAAUUGUAGUACUUGUAAAGAUGCAAGUUACCCGCGAUUAGACGGAAAGACCCCAUGGAGCUUCACUGCAGGCUGAUAUUGGGUUCCGGUAUUUUCUGUACAGGAUAGGUGGGAGACAGAGAAGUAUGCACGCCAGUGCAUAUGGAGUCGACGUUGGGAUACCACUCUGAGAAUACUGGAGCUCUAACCCGGUACCAUGGAACUGGUACGGGGACACUGUCAGUCGGGCAGUUUGACUGGGGCGGUCGCCUCCCAAAGAGUAACGGAGGCGCCCAAAGGUUACCUCAGCGCAGUUGGAAAUUGCGUGAUAGAGUGCAAAGGCAGAAGGUAGCCUAACUGAGAGGCUGACAAGCCGAACAGGUACGAAAGUAGGGCUUAGUGAUCCGGCGGUAUGAAAGUGGAAUUGCCGUCGCUCAACGGAUAAAAGCUACCCUGGGGAUAACAGGCUUAUCUCCCCCAAGAGUUCACAUCGACGGGGAGGUUUGGCACCUCGAUGUCGGCUCAUCGCAUCCUGGAGCUGUAGCAGGUUCCAAGGGUUUGGCUGUUCGCCAAUUAAAGCGGUACGCGAGCUGGGUUCAGAACGUCGCGAGACAGUUCGGUCCCUAUCUGUCGUGGGCGUAGGAUAUUUGAGGGGAACUGUCCUUAGUACGAGAGGACCGGGAUGGACGAACCUCCGGUGCACCAGUUGUUCCACCAGGAGCAUAGCUGGGUAGCCGAGUUCGGAUCGGAUAAACGCUGAAAGCAUCUAAGCGUGAAGCCGGCCCCAAGAUGAGAUAUCCCAUCGAAAGAGUAAGACCCCACAAAGACUAAGUGGUUGAUAGGUCAGGAGUGGAAGCGUAGUAAUGCGUUAAGCGGACUGAUACUAAUAGGUCGAGGGCUUGACCAA
rnacentral:rRNA from 1 species